GAUGAACGCUGGCGGCGUGCCUAAUACAUGCAAGUCGAGCGAACGGACGAGAAGCUUGCUUCUCUGAUGUUAGCGGCGGACGGGUGAGUAACACGUGGAUAACCUACCUAUAAGACUGGGAUAACUUCGGGAAACCGUAGCUAAUACCGGAUAAUAUUUUGAACCGCAUGGUUCAAAAGUGAAAGACGGUCUUGCUGUCACUUAUAGAUGGAUCCGCGCUGCAUUAGCUAGUUGGUAAGGUAACGGCUUACCAAGGCAACGAUGCAUAGCCGACCUGAGAGGGUGAUCGGCCACACUGGAACUGAGACACGGUCCAGACUCCUACGGGAGGCAGCAGUAGGGAAUCUUCCGCAAUGGGCGAAAGCCUGACGGAGCAACGCCGCGUGAGUGAUGAAGGUCUUCGGAUCGUAAAACUCUGUUAUUAGGGAAGAGCAUAUAUGUAAGUAACUGUGCACAUCUUGACGGUACCUAAUCAGAAAGCCACGGCUAACUACGUG
rnacentral:rRNA from 1 species